UAUUUUCUACGUCACUUAUCAAACCCACUUGUUGUAAGAAAAAUUGUAUAUAUUGUAGGGGGCUAGGGUCCUAUAGGUGCGAUUGUUAACUCUCCCGAGUCUUCAGUACUACUAAUUCAAUUUAAUAAAAAUCAUAUAAUAAUAAUAAUAAUAGAAAUUAAUGCCUUUAGAUGCUAUGAGCUAUAAUGUUAUAGUCAAAAUACAAUAAAAAAUAAAAAUUCAUAAAAUAAAUCUUAUGUACAAAACAUAGGUAUGAUAAAAUAAAAAUUUUUUAAUUUAAUUUUGUUAAUAGUAGGAACCGAUUUUAAAAAACUUAUGGAGUAUCAAUUUUUUUCACUUUAUAAUCUAAUAUUUUUUAAGUUGUGGCUUUUUCUUUAUUUUUUAUAUGACUGUUUUUACUAGUUUUUUUUUUAGUUUAUUGCAAUUUUGAAUUUUGAACAAUUUUGACUCAUAUAAUGUUGACCCGGAAGAGUUUACCACCACCCGAUUGUAGUUUUAUUUCAAUAAAAUAAAAAAUAAAUAAAUAAGUAGGUACCUAACUAAUUAAUGAGUAAUUAUUGUUUAUACGCAACAGUCGCAACUCAUUCACAUACAAAAAAUACCUAAGAAAUAUUAUUAUAAUAAUAUUUCAUUACUCACAAAAUAGUACCUAACAAAAAACAAAAUUUCGUUAAAAAAAAUACGCUGAAAGAAAUAAUUUUAGGUUAUACAAAAUUAUACAACAAAGUUAAUAUUUAUUUCGCAUUGGUGUAUAAUAAUAUAAGAUAUUAUCUAUUUACCCUUCAAACAAUAACUUCAAAGCAAAAUAACAGAAAUGUAUUAUUAUCAGAACUGUAAAAAAUCUAAAGUAUACACAAUCAUCACAGAUUAUAAUAAGAGUCAGCAAUUAAUUUCUUCGGGGGCCAAGAUAAUUUUAAAAAGAAUUUUUGAGUGCUAGAAAAAACUUUAAUAUUAGCUAGGUAUAGUUAAUAAAUAAUAAUCAUUUUUCAUACCUAUGUGUUAUCGUAACUAUUAUUUUAAACAGCGAUAAACGAUGAACACCAUCGUAAUCUCCAAAUACUUCAUAAAAAUAGAUUAAAAUAUCUAUUAUAGUUUUGUGCAGAAAAAUAACAUUAAAAAAAUAUUUUUGAUGGUCUAAUUAUUUACUCUCCACGAGCAAGAGCCUAUCAUUUUUUGCUGACCCCAGCUGGUCCAUAAUUUUAUAAUCUGUACUAUCAUAAUCAAGGGCCCAGACGUUAGGAUGCGAUAAGUGAUAACAUUAUUUUGUAUAUGGAGUUGCAGCCGUUUCAGGUCAUAAUAUGUGUGAUUAAUAAGUCUUAAAUAUGAUAAAUUGACAAAUGUCAAAUAUUAUUGGAUACACAACCUACACAACCUAUUAACUAUUGUCUAUGUAUGAGACUGACUAUCUUUAUUAUGCACAAUGCACCAAUGCACAUGUUGAUUAAUUAUUAUGAGAUAAAAUUAAAAGAAGAUUUACAAAAAACCAAAAAUCAUCAAAGUAAAUAAUAAACAGGCCAAUUUGUUGCUGACCACUUGGUAGUUGAUGGUCAUCAAAGUCCAGUUUGAAGAUUUCAUGAUAAUCGGAUAACAAUAAUUUAAUUGCUAGCAAUUUUGAAGAAAGUAUAGUAAAAAGGUUUAAAACAUUCAAGAUGGUGAAGAUUCACAAUAUGUGUUUAUUUUAUUGAAAAUUAAACAAUUUUUUUUUUAUUAGUAGUAGAAUAUUAGCAGAUUUAAAGUAUCACCAAAAGAGUGUUGAUGUGUUUUGUUGUAUCCAACCUUAAAAAUAUUUUGUUAUCUGCUGAUAUUUUUUAUUUGCAUUUUUACUUUUUAAUUAUUUAUUAUGUAAUGUAUUGUCUAUGAUUUUUUUAGGAACCAAUAACUAAGUAAUAAUCUGGAAUAUUGGUGGUUAUCAAAUACUUGCCCUUAUUAAUCUUCAUCCAGAUAUUACUAUUUAUCGCUUUCUGGAAUUGUUAUGGUACCAAUAAGUAGCUCACCGGUAUUGUGAUAAGGGGAGAGACAAAGAUGGCAAAACCUACUUAAGUGCUGAAUGUGUCAAUAUUUUAAAGAAAAUUAAAUUCAAAGAUUAAAAGAUUAAUAAAUUUAAGAUUAAUAUAAGAAAUAUUUUAAUUAUUAAAUUAAUAUAUUUUGUUAGUGUUAAUUUAUUUUAAAAAUAUAUUUUAUAUCUAUUUUACACAUUAAGUAUUUCAUAAUUCAUUGCAUAGUUAGUUUCCAAUGCUAUUUUUCUUUAUAAAUAUAUGUGUACAGCUUAUGUUAUUUAUCAGUUUAUCACAGUUUAAGUAUUAAAUAAAUUUAAGACUGGAUAGAUAAACACAUUGAAGACAUUAGAGUUCUUGUAGUUGUAGUUUUACAUUAUUAUUUAUUUCAAUCAAAGAAAUGCUUUAAAAUACAAAGAAAAAUUAAUUUACAAAAAAAAUAAAGUAUUGAAAUUGUCUCUCUUUUCAAUUAUUCAAUUAUUUAGACACACAAGUGUUAGGAAUAUUCAACAGCACUUCACAAAAAUUCUCAACUUAAUUAAUAUUGGCUAUUUGUGAAAUGGUGUCUGUAUAAUAUUAUAUAUUUGCAUUAUAAAU